rnacentral:rRNA from 1 species
AACGAACGCUGGCGGCAUGCCUAACACAUGCAAGUCGAACGAGACCUUCGGGUCUAGUGGCGCACGGGUGCGUAACGCGUGGGAACCUGCCCUUAGGUUCGGAAUAACUCCCCGAAAGGGGUGCUAAUACCGGAUAAUGUCUUCGGACCAAAGAUUUAUCGCCUUUGGUUGGGCCCGCGUUGGAUUAGCUAGUUGGUAGGGUAAAAGCCUACCAAGGCGACGAUCCAUAGCUGGUCUGAGAGGAUGAUCAGCGACACUGGGACUGAGACACGGCCCAGACUCCUACGGGAGGCAGCAGUGGGGAAUAGUGGACAAUGGGCGAAAGCCUGAUCCAGCAAUGCCGCGUGAGUGAUGAAGGCCUUAGGGUUGUAAAGCUCUUUUACCCGGGAUGAUAAUGACAGUACCGGGAGAAUAAGCUCCGGCUAACUACGUG